UACGUAGGGUGCAAGCGUUGUCCGGAAUUAUUGGGCGUAAAGAGCUCGUAGGCGGCUUGUCGCGUCGAAUGUGAAAUCCCGGGGCUCAACCCCGGGUCUGCAUUCGAUACGGGCAGACUAGAGUUCGGUAGGGGAGUCUGGAAUUCCUGGUGUAGCGGUGAAAUGCGCAGAUAUCAGGAGGAACACCGGUGGCGAAGGCGGGACUCUGGGCCGAUACUGACGCUGAGGAGCGAAAGCGUGGGGAGCAAACAGG
rnacentral:rRNA from 1 species